rnacentral:lncRNA from 1 species
CAGAAGGGGCUGGGCCUGGGUGCUAAUUGAAAUCCAGGAAUCUAACCCAGGUUUUCUGGCUCUGUCUUCUUCCCCACCUUUCAGAAACUGGUCCCAGCGUCAGAUCUGCGAUGCUGCCCAGGCAUGGUGGUGACCCUCUCUAAACAAGCACACUCAGAAUUUCCCUGGCUCGGCUGGGCGACUCAGAAGAAAACUGGCCAUCAGCUUCUGCCUCAAGCGGUGAAAAGAAAUUGCUGGACAUUGCAGAAAAAUCAGAAAAUGUCAGUAAGUUAAAAGAAAUCAGGCCAGGCACAGUGGCUCAAGCCUGUAAUCCCAGCACUCCGGGAAGCCGAGAUCACCUGAGGGCAGAUCACCUGAGGUCAGGAAUUUGAGACCAGCCUGGCCAACAUGGUGAAACCCUGCCUUCACUAAAAAUACAAAAAUUAGCCAGGCUUCGUGGCGGGCACCUGUAAUACCAGCUACUUGGGAGGCUGAGGCAGGAGAAUUCCCUGAACCUGGGAGGCAGAGGUUGCAGUGAGCCGAGAUCACACCACUGCACUCCAGCCUGAGUGACAAAGACCCCAUCUCAAACAGCUUCUAGUAGCAACCUACAAUGCACAGGACAGGACAGCACCCCCAACAAAGAAUUAUCCAGUCCCAGAUGUCAAGCACCGGGUUGAGAAUCCCUGGUUUAGACUGCCUUAGUUAGGUUUUAGAGACUGGCUGGUUCAAAGGUUUGCACACUGUGUUCUACAGAGACUCUGGAGCUCCUGGGAGUGGAACGAGAGGAAGUGGACAGGGACCCCAACCACAUUCCCCGGCCAGUCAGAGCAGGUGCCCUUUAGGUCAGCUUUUGAAGCUAGAGUUCUGUAUUAGCUUUGCUUUGGAAAAGUCCCUGGGGGUAGGGGGGUGCGUAGGGAAAAGAUUUGAAUGCCAUUACCCUGCUUUGAUUUAUAGGCCCAGAAAAGGAAAGUGAGUUGCCUGAAGUCACGUAGCAAAUCUGAAGUACAACAGGGACCUAGACACAGAGCCUUGGUGUCCAGCACGCUUUGUACCACCCCUUAGCCCUAUUGAUAAUCACUGACACCCUGGGCUAGGAGUCGGGCACCUGGGGAGUGCUGGCAAACUGUGGCUCAUAGACCAGACCUGGCUCACUGCCCGUUUUUAUACAGCCUGCCAACUAAGAAUAAUAGUUUCCACAUCUUUUUAAUGGUUGAAGAAAAUAAAGAGUAUU